AACCAUAGAAACCUGCGGAGUACCUGCGGAGGGAUCAUUACACAAUACAAUAUGAAGGCUGUCCGCAGCUGGAGUAUUUUAUUACCCUUGUCUUUUGCGCACUUGUUGUUUCCUGGGCGGGUUCGCUCGCCACCAGGACCACCAAAUAAACCUUUUUUAUGCAGUUGCAAUCAGCGUCAGUACAAACAAUGUAAAUCAUUUACAACUUUUAACAACGGAUCUCAGAUCGGAAGAGCACAC
rnacentral:misc_RNA from 1 species